GUUGGUUACGGCGAUAUGACACCAAAAACGUUUCCCGGAAUGUUCAUCGGGGGAUUAUGCGCUAUUGCAGGUGUUUUAGCUAUCGCACUUCCGGUUCCCGUUAUCGUCAGCAAC
rfam:Habropoda laboriosa contig20917, whole genome shotgun sequence.